rnacentral:tRNA from 1 species
AAGAAGUUAGUUUAAGAAAAACAUUAAAAUGUCAAGUUAAAAUUAUUAAUGAUACUUCUUA